rnacentral:lncRNA from 1 species
GUGAAAAGUGACAAGGUUGUUCUGGUGGUGAACAGGAAGGGUUUCAUGUGGGCGACUCUGGCGUUGGCGGAGGGUCAGUGGCUGUGACGGCCAUCUCGGUAUGAGAGACAGAGGGAGAGAAGAGUGGGAGGGUCACUGACUGCAUACGGAGGUGGACAAGCAUGUCCUGAGAUCUGGGGUCAGCAUCACCGGGAGUCCAGUUGCUGGCAGAAAGACAGAAGUCAGGAAGUGGGGCAGACACUCUUCCCUGGUCCAGCGAGCUGCAGCCACCAUGUCAUGAUGCUAUGGGUUGACUUGUGGUGCCCUGAGACUUAGCUUGAAGUCCUAACCCCAGCAGCUGCACCAUGUUGCUGGCU